UACGUAGGGGGCAAGCGUUGUCCGGAUUUAUUGGGCGUAAAGGGCGCGUAGGCGGUUUCUUAAGUUUGGAGUGACAGUGGGUGGCUUAACUACCCAAGGCCUCUGAAAACUGGGGAACUUGAGGACCAGAGAGGGACAUAGAAUUCCGGGUGGAGUGGUGAAAUGCGUAGAUAUCCGGAGGAAUACCAAAGGGGAAGGCAGUGUCCUGGAGGGUGACUGACGCUGAGGCGCGAAAGCUAGGGGAGCGAACAGG
rnacentral:rRNA from 1 species